GGGGUGGCAGUUUGCCCAUUAUGUACGGAUAACUUUGAGGGCAAUGUAAGUUGGGGCUUGCAAGUUUUUAAACUGCUGUUCAUGGUUGGAUUAUGAUUGAUCCAAAUAAUGAGUUAAUCAUUUUCAGCAAAGCAGAACAAAAUAAUGUCUCCACAUAUCUACGAUAGAAAAUUAAAACCCAUAACUAAAACAUUGAUCAGAGGGCUCAGUUCAUAUCGAAGAAACACGAACCCAACCGAGUUUGAGCAUAUCAAACUGCAUUACGUGAAUACCUCGUCCCAAAC
rnacentral:lncRNA from 1 species